CCUCAGUAACGGCGAGUGAAGCGGCAACAGCUCAAAUUUGAAAUCUGGCUCCCUUCCCGGGGUCCGAGUUGUAAUUUGCAGAAGGUGCCUCCGGGGUGACGACGGUCUAAGUUCCCUGGAACGGGGCGUCACAGAGGGUGAGAAUCCCGUACGCGACCGCCCGUCCCCCCGGUGCGAGGCCCUUUCGACGAGUCGAGUUGUUUGGGAAUGCAGCUCAAAACGGGUGGUAAAUUUCAUCUAAAGCUAAAUACCGGCCAGAGACCGAUAGCGCACAAGUAGAGUGAUCGAAAGGUGAAAAGCACUUUGGAAAGAGAGUUAAACAGUACGUGAAAUUGUUGAAGGGGAAGCGCUUGCAACCAGACUCGCGCGCGGGCGCUCAGCCUCCCCCCGGGGUGGUGCACUCGUCCGCGCUCGGGCCAGCAUCGGUUCCGGCCGCCGGACGAAGGUUCGGGGAAUGUAGCUCCCUCCGGGGAGUGUUAUAGCCCCGUUCGGAAUGCGGCGUGUCGGGUCCGAGGACCGCGCUUCGGCUAGGAUGCUGGCGUAAUGGUUGCCAG
rnacentral:rRNA from 1 species